CUAUAGAUGGCGUUGGUAGCAAAAUUUUCGUGUGAUUUAUUUUAGUUGCAGACAAAAUCAUAAUCGUCAUAUUAUUAUGAGGUAAAUCAACAGGCAUUACGUCACUUAGGCGAGCCGCGUGAUAUUAGUAUUAUUAUUAGACUUCAUUAGAUUAUGCAUAGAAUAGCGCUUAAAUCACGUAACUGCUUACCAGUGUAUUUUAAUAUAAUUGUAUAUAAAAAUUACCUUACGGACAAAAAUACAAAUUUUGUUAAUUGAUCAAUCUUUUGUUGACAGUAUUUAUAAAUCUAUAGUACAUUAAAAAUACCUAACAUCUCUAUAAAAUAUAAACUCUUGUUAUUGUAAAACCGUUAGUAUAAUUCUAUUAAACUAUGUAUUAUUUAGCAACAAUGAAUAGUUUUAGCUGUGUAA